rnacentral:rRNA from 1 species
AUGGAGAAGCUCGGCGCGAACCCGGCCAACUCCUGCCCGCUCACGCCGCUCGGCUUCCUGGAGCGCGCCGCCACCGUGUACGGCGACUGCCCCUCCGUCGUCUACGGCGGCACCGUCUUCACCUGGUCCCAGACCCACCGCCGCUGCCUCCGCCUCGCCUCCGCGCUCGCCUCCCUCGGCGUCUCCCGCCGCGACGUCGUGUCCGUGCUGCUGCCGAACGUGCCGGCCAUGUACGAGGCGCACUUCGGGGUGCCCAUGAGCGGCGCCGUGCUCAACAGCAUCAACACGCGCCUCGACGCGCGCACGGUGUCGGUCCUGCUCCGUCACUCGGGGUCCAGGCUCAUCCUCGUCGACCCGGCGCUGGUGCCGGUGCUCGACGAGGCGCUCCGGCUCCUCCCGCCGGGCCACCCGGCGCCGCGCGUCGUGCUCGUCGAGGACCCCCAGGAGAAGGACUUCUCUCCCGCCCCCGCGGCGGCCCUGACGUACGAGAAGCUGCUGGAGAUGGGCGACCCGGAGUUCAAAUGGGUCCGGCCGGCCAGCGAGUGGGACCCGAUGAUACUCAACUACACCUCCGGCACCACGUCGGCGCCCAAGGGCGUCGUGCACUGCCACCGCGGCAUCUUCGUGGUCACCAUGGACUCGCUCGUCUCCUGGUCCGUGCCGGAGCAGCCGACGUACCUGUGGACGCUCCCCAUGUUCCACGCCAACGGCUGGAGCUUCCCGUGGGGGAUGGCCGUGGUGGGCGGCACCAACGUCUGCCUGCGCCGCGUGGACGCCGCCGAGGUCUACGACACCAUCGCCCGCCGCGGGGUCACGCACCUCUGCGGCGCGCCCGUCGUUCUCAACAUGCUGGCCAACGCGCCCGAGGGCGUGCGGAGGCCGCUCCCGGGGAAGGUGCAGAUCCUCACAGCCGGCGCGCCGCCGCCGGCCGCAGUGCUGGGCCGCACGGAGGCCAUCGGGUUCGACGUCAGCCACGGGUACGGGCUGACCGAGACUGCGAGGCUGGUGCUGUUGUGCGCGUGGAAGGGCGAGUGGAACAAGCUGCCGGCGUCGGAGCGCGCGCGGCUCAAGGCGAGGCAGGGCGUGCGCACCCCCGGCAUGGCCGAGGUGGACAUCGUGGACGGCGAGACCGGCCGCAGCGUGCCGCGGGACGGCGCCACCAUGGGCGAGAUCGUGCUCCGCGGCGGGUGCGUCACCAUGGGCUACUUCAAGGACGAGGACGCCACCCGGGCGGCGAUCCGGGACGACGGGUGGUUCUACACGGGGGACGUGGGCGUGAUGCACCCGGACGGGUACCUGGAGAUCCGGGACCGGUCCAAGGACGUGAUCAUCAGCGGCGGCGAGAACAUCAGCAGCGUGGAGGUGGAGUCGCUGCUCUACGGCCACCCGGCGGUGAACGAGGCGGCGGUGGUGGCGCGGCCGGACGAGUUCUGGGGCGAGACGCCGUGCGCGUUCGUGAGCCUCAAGGAGGGCGCGUCCGGCGCGGUGACCGCGGCCGAAGUGAUCGCCUGGAGCCGGGAGCGCAUGCCAGGGUACAUGGUGCCCAAGACCGUAGUGUUCCGCGCCGAGCUGCCCAAGACGUCCACCGGCAAGAUCCAGAAGUACGUGCUCCGGAACCUCGCCAAGGAGAUGGGGCCGACCCGCAGGGGCGUCAGCACCACCACCAGCAAGAUGUAG